CUGACAAAAGGAAAUGUCACAGAAGUGAUGAUACCACGUUAAAGGAUUUUUGGAUUCAUUGGGUACAUAUGUGAAUAAAAAACCAAUUGUGGAACCAACUGAAGAGGAAGCUGCAGAGUUAGAAGUAAUAUUAUGCAAAAGAAGUAGAAAAGGAAAUCCAUUCAAGAGAACACUGUAUUACAUACUACUAUCUUGUGCUAACUUUUAAAUAUGUAUAUCGUUUGAAUAACAAGUAGAGAUUAUAUAAUGAUAAAGAUAGACAUAUCAGUUUUCUAUGCACCAAAGCAUAUUGAGGUACAUUUACCCCAACAGAUGCUUCAUAUCAGAAGUACGAAUUCAUAUUUGUGAGAAACAUAUAGAGGGUAUUUUACAGAUUAGGUGGUUCCUACAUACUAUGCAUUUAUUGCUUUCUAGUGGCAUAAACUGUAAUGGUGGAGGGGGAUAUCCAUUCAGUUAAAAUAACAUACCAGCAGUUCUACCUUCUUCUAAUCGAAAGUGGCUAGCAUGUCAAUAUAUAAAUAAUAAAAUUGUUACAUUUUCUCCAUUAAGCAGAUUCAAAAUGAAUCGUAAGAAGAUAUUUACGGGCCACGUGGGUGCUGUUUAUGCGUGCAGUUUGGAUGUUUCUCCUGAAAUGAGGUAUGGGCUUGGAAAACAACAAAAUCGUGUAGAAAAUGAAAAGCACAUGUUGGUGUCUGUACCAAUAUAUUAUACAUCCUUGUGAAACUUGAAAAAUAGUAACAUCCGGAUGGGACGGACACGUAAAAUGUUGAAAUUAAGUAUAUACAAAAACUAAGUAUUUAAUCGACGCAGGUUUUAGUAUUCCUUUGAUGUAAUACAUAUUGUAUAUAUUGCUUUUAUGAAUAUUCAAUUGCAUUUUUGUAACACAUAAAUGCAAAAAUAGGAGGGCAGAUUUAAGCUUCUUUUUGAGAAAACAUUCUCUUUGUACCAUCUUGUAAAUUUGUAUACGAAGAAUUUGACAAUAAAGUAAUAUUUUCAUAAAAUCA